AGGAGAAUCGGGACAGAUUAGAUGGCUUGCUCACUCCAAGACACACUAGAAGCAGUGUAGACAAGAUCUCCCUCCUCCUCCCGGGCGUGCAGGAACUGCCUUGCCCUUUCCGGGGAUGCGACCUCAUGCCUGGCGCGAGCCUGGGAUGGUUCGAGUCCCUGAACAGAGAAGAGGCUGGAACUGGGAAGACAGAUAAUGAUGCCGCUCUGACCCAGGUGUGGUGGUACGUGACUGCAACCCCCCACUCAGCAGGCUGAAGCAGGAUCACGAGUGCAGCCUGAACUGUACAGCAAGACCCUACUUUAAAAAAAGAAAACAAACAAACAAACUGUGAUAUCUCUCUCCAAGAAUGUCCAGAUCCUAGAUCUACACUUUGUAUAGCGCUAGGCACUGUGAGUGGAGACUCUCAUGUAUUUAAAGAGGGCUCUUUACCAUGGAGGAGCUGCAAGAUAUCUCAGCUACAUAGAGCUCAAGGAGGCCUUUCCCCUCCAGCAGCACACAGGCUCUAGAGUGGAGGCAUGCAAUACAGAGCCAGGGCCAGCUUCCUGAGGUGGACCUCUGUGCUCAAAGGGAGCCCACACUUAGCUUGAGGCCCUGCAGAUACCUUCUGAAAUUUGAAGAGAUGGUGGGGGGAGGCAGGGAUUCACUGUGUAGUUCAAGUUGGCUUUGGGCUUAUGUUCCUCCUGCCUCAACCUCCCAGGGCAGGGAUUGCAUAGUGCACGUACACACCCAGCUUCGGAGCAAUUCUUUGUCAAAAUGCCCAACACUUUGCUUGGGGCACAGUAGCAUAGCCGAACCCAGGCAGAAAUGAGGGUCAGGCUUAUAUAGGUCCAUAGAAAAACAGUAUGUGGGAGAGGAUUAGCAAGAUCCAGAAUCUGAAUAAAAAAUAGACGUGAUGAACCCCA
rnacentral:lncRNA from 1 species